UGGAGUGUGGGGUGCUGGGGGCCCCUGCGACCCACACUGGCCUGUCCCGUCUUCUGUCCCCGAGUGAACGGGUUCCUGUCCCUCCGCGCCCCCGCCAGGCCUCUGCUGAGGCUUUCGGGGACUGGGGAUCCCGGUCGUGGCCCCCGAGGGCAGCCCCUAGCGACCAAGGGGAGCGCGCAGGACUCGGGUCGGUGUGCCGCAGGCCGCCCCUCCCAGAGGCGCGGUGGGACCCAGAACGCGGCCCGGGGCGAGCCCUCUCGGUGCUCUGGGUCCCACAGGUUCAGCCGGUGCACCACCCGGGAAGGAGGAACGUCCCCCAUCUCCUACUGUGGUCUCCAGGAGCUGCCGGAGGCCUCAGCACCUCAGAACCAUCCCUCCUAGAGCCCCUCCAGGGCCAGGGGUCUGCCUAACCCGUCUGCACUUGAAGCAGAAAUGCCUCAGGGGCAGGGGGCCGUCUCUGGCUGAGAGGCCCCUCCGUGUCCUGGCAGGGAGAUGAGGAGUGGUCCCUGGCCUCUGUGCGGUGGACCUUGGGUUCCCUUGUAGCAGUUCCCAGGGACAGUCCAUCUCUGAUCCUGGACCCAAGUCCUGAGAGCCUCCAGCAAGAGCCCUUCAGCAGCCCCCGCCCAGAAAUACAGGUGCUGGUGGGGUUUGGAGGGUCAUCUGAGCCUGUUGUAAUCUCUGCUCUGUUAAGGGGAGGGGAGGAGGAGGCUUAAGGUCAGCACCCGCCUUCCCCAGGAAGCUGAACGUGGUUCUGGUGGCCUCCGUACCCCCAGAAGGGUGUGUGGGCACAACUGCAAAGAUGAGGGCCCAAGGCACACCAAACAGCAUGGACCGCCUCCUGUGUGCAGAAGACAUGUGGCGUGUUCCCCAAGUUCGCACACACACGCCAGAAGCUUUCCCUUCAUUGGCCUCUCUCAGGACCCCAGAGGCGAGGGGGAGGUGGGCUGGAAGAUGUGUCACCCCACCUCUGACCAGAGCCACCUUUCUAGGCUGUCCUACUGGCAACCAGAGGAAGGAGCCUGGACUCUGCAGGUGUGGUGGCUGGGUGCUGGGUGCCACCAGGCUGACAUGAGAGGGAAGAGACAAGGCCCAACUGGGCAGCUGAAGCUAAGCCCCAGGGAGCUCCCA